AUGGCAGCCCACAUCUCUAUGGGACGCAUUGGAGAAGUCUACCGCAGGGAGCUUAAGGAUACCAUUUAUCAGAUUUGUGGACGCCGAGAUGAGCAAUGGGAGAUGAUCAGCACCAAGAAGGAUGGAUCAAUUGCAGCUUUCAUCCAGGAGCAAAACCAACACAUUCGUCGCCAGGAGAACCAGAUGUGCGCAGACAUGAUAGAACUAAAGAAGGCAUUGACCAAGAUCACGGAGUUGGAGGAAGAACUCAAGUCUACGCGCGAUGGAUAUGAGGAGGAGAUCGCCACGUUGUUGGAAAAGAAUGACGACAUAAUAAAGAAGAUCGGAGUAUUCAUGGGAGACCCAGCUCCAGGAGGAGAAGAUGACGAUUCUACUUGCCCGGAUAACUACAUCAUCAUCGACGACACCGACUCAGACCCUAGUGAAGAUGACUUUGUUGAUGAAGCUGGAGCAGAUAUCAUGGAGUCUUCGACCGAUCAAAAUUUCUAG
rnacentral:rRNA from 1 species